GUCACGAGAGAGUACCCUCCCGUUGCUUUUCUUCAGACAAUGAAAUUCUCCGGUUGGAACCUUAUUGCUGAUUAAUGUUUAAAACAUCCUAAAUAUGGAUUGCAUACAUCAUUUGACUUGUUUCUACGACCUGUAAUGGAACUUUUUGAGUUUUUGUCUGGAGGAAUUGCUCGUACUUUAUAAAGAUUGAAUGCUGGGCUGAACAAGCUAACAACAAGUGGCUAAAUGAUGGGCUUUAUGGAACUUUAUAGAACAAAUCUAUUUAUUGUCGAACUGGGAUUCCUGAGACUGCCUUCUGAUGAAGAUAUUCAAAGGAAAGCAGCAGAACCAAUCCCAGGUGAGGAUCCAGAUGCUCUGACCAUCUGCGUAGGAGACUGGGUGAAACUACGAGUCCAUAAAAGAAAAUGGAACCAGCCAAGAUGGAUGGGACCCUUCCAGGUGACCAUGACAACUGAUGAGGAAGGAACAGAGGAGAAACGGGGAAGAGGACAGCCAGAGGGCCCGAGAACAAAGGCAAAGAAGAACCAACAGAGGGUUCAGCCACAGGUCCUGAACAGUCAUCAGAUGUUACCAUCAUACACAUCAUAAACAAGAAAAUCGCACCCAUAGAAACACACAUGCAGGGAAUUUAUUGUUCUCCAAAUCCAACUCGUUCCCUUUGUGGACGGGGAUGUGGAGACCAGUCAAUGUGUGAAAGCAGUGACAUGCAUAGGAUUACAGGGGAAGGGGAACACAUCUGGCACACGGGUAAUGACUUCCCAGAAAUCCACCUCCACAGCCUUUCUGUGGGUAGUAUCAGGUCAUCUAUAAGACUACGCUAGGUAAAGCUCCGCCUUACCUCAGCUCACUGGUCACGAUAACAACACCCACCUGUAGCACGCACUCCAGCAGGUAUAUCUCACUGAUCAUCCCCAAAGACAGCACCUCCUUUGACCGCCUUUCCUUUCCAGUUCUCUGCUGCCAGUGACUGGAACGAAUUGCAAAAAUCACUGAAGCUGGAGUCUUACAUUUCCCUCACUAACUUUAAACACCAGCUAUCUGAGCAGCUAACCGAUCGCUGCAGCUGUACAUAGUCCAUCUGUAAAUAGCCCACCCAAUCUACCUACCUCAUCCCCAUACUGUUUUUAUUUUAUUUUCUGCUCUUUUGCACACCAGUAUCACUACUUGCACAUCAUCUGCUCAUCUAUCACUCCAGUAUUCUGCUAAAUUGUAAUUACUUCGCUACUAUGGACUAUUUAUUGCCUUACCUCCUCACGCCAUUUGCACACACUGUAUAUAUACUUUCUUUUUUUCUAUUGUGUUAUUGACUGUACACUUGUUCAUUCCAUGUGUAACUCUGUGUUGUUGUUUGUGUCGCACUGCUAUGCUUUAUCUUGGCCAGGUCGCAGUUGUAAAUGAGAACUUGUUCUCAACUGGCCUACCUGGCUAAAUAAAGGUGAAAUAAAAUAAUAAAAAACAUACCAAUUGGCAAA